rnacentral:rRNA from 1 species
UGCGCAGGCGGUUUUAUAAGCCAGAUGUGAAAUCCCCGGGCUUAACCUGGGAACUGCAUUUGGAACUGUAAGACUAGAGUACGGCAGAGGGGGGUAGGAAUUCCACGUGUAGCAGUGAAAUGCGUAGAUAUGUGGAGGAAUACCGAUGGCGAAGGCAGCCCCCUCGGGUCGAUACUGACGCUCAUGCACGAAAGCGUGGGGAGCAAACA